UCAGCCAUGAUUGUUUUACAAGAUAUGUAAGUCACUUAGGGCUGUACUGAAAUCCAGGGAACCCCCUUCCUCCUCCCUGUCUAGUCUAGAAAUGCAGGGCGAUCUCACAGGUCAGUGCAGUGGCUUCCGUCAGUCAUUGCAACAAGGAUGUGAAAUGCGGAAGAGCAUCUCUCUCUCUCUCGGCAGCCUCUUCCUCUGCGCUGUUUCCUCCGUGCAUCUGCUUCAACCGGCUACUCAGACCUGCUGUCCAGUACUGGGUCUCUCCGGACUCCAGAACUGAGUUUAGGAGACAGGACUGAUGGUCCAGCUGCCUGUGGGGGUGGGCUGUGUCAUGCUGUGCUGCCUGUGUGGUUUCUAUGGAUCCCUGCCAUCCCUACAUGCAUAAGGAAGAAGGGAUGGGUAGAGCUCUGGCCAGGCCCUUGACCUGCACGAUCAUGACACCUCACACGCAACCCUCUCAGCAAGGCGAGGACAUGGCGUGCCUCCUCCUCUUCUGUUUCCUGCUGGAUCAUGAGCACAAGAGUGACGGAGUCAAGACUCAACUCUGUAGUCUGGAUUCCUUCCCAUCCCCGCCUCCACACCAGCCUCAGGUGAAUCAGAAGGUCUUACAUAAGGCUGGACAAGGCCUCUCCAGAUAUUAUUUUCCAGUUCCGUCCCCGGCUCCACUUCCCUCUCCAUCUCUCCUGUUCCCCACACCCCACGGCACUCUAAUGAGCUGCUCCAUGUCCUGAAAUAUAUGCAUAUCCUUGUUAAGGAUAUAACGUUGUUUUGAAUAUGUAUGCAUUCUAAACUUAAAUAAAAAGGCAUUGUGCUAUCGA